rnacentral:misc_RNA from 1 species
CAAUUGUUCAAUGCCACUUCUGAGUCAUAAACUUUCAAAACAUUAUGAAAGGUAAAGCCUUACAUAAAUAUAACAAUAUAAACAUGCCAUUAGCUAUACUGCAUUUUGCUUUUCUGUCCAUUGAUACAGCUUCAUCUGCUUUACUCCUUUAUUGAAAAACAACUUCCCCCAUUGGGGAAGCAACUUCCUAGUAGUUUCUUGUAUACCUGAAGUAGUGUAAAUGCAUACCACUCUCAUGCUUACUCCAGCCAAGCUAGUUUUCCUGGCAACCAUGAUGACUUUCUGCCCAUUCCGAUCCACAUGCAUAGCAAAACUGGAAACUACACCUGCAAGGUAUACGGAGACAACCUUCCGUUUUUUCCACGAAGAAUUUGCACUGGGGACAUCUCCUCCAUUUCUUAUCCCUAGCAAGUUCCAUCACCAUCAGAUCUUGUCUUCCUCUCUCGUCCUCAUUCAGCCUCUGGUACACCUCACACUCAACCCCAGAAUGCCAAGGUACAUAACAUCGAGCACAAAACAAUCUAUUGCAGAAGGGGCACUCAGCUUCCCUAAUGUCUUCUCCUUCGUUAUCAUUCACCAACAUAGCCGAACAGUCCUUAAAUGGGCAGUAAAAUCUCUGCGAACCGCUGAUUAGCUUUUCGCAGAGCGCCUCCUCCCAAAGAUCAAUCACUCCCUUGUUGAGCUUAUCCCUGCAAUUUUCCAGUUCAAGCACCGCCUUACAAUUCAAUCCAGGACAAGUAAUGACUGUAAUGCUUUCCUGAAUCUUUGUAGCUACAUACUUGCUUAUACAAUCGGAGCAGUAAGAGUGAAGGCAUCUAUCAGUUGUAAACAUGUGGUUACUUUCUUUGCUUUCCACACAAAUAUCGCAGAAACUGUGGGAGGACUGACCACCUUCCUGGUGAUUUGGCUCUGGGGGUGCUUCAAUCAUCAAAUCCGAUGUUGGGUUAUUCUUCUUCAUCUGAGAAAUGAUCACACGACCCAUUAGAGCCUCCUGGAAUUGCAUAUCUUCUGUACAUUUGGCGUCUGAAACUGCAAAGCCUUCCUGGCGCUUUUCAUUAUCGAAGAGCAAAGAGAAGUAGAAAUCAUCGACAAAAUCGAGAUCAGAGACGUAUUCUUUUGCCAUGAUACUGAAUUUACUAUUGCAAUCGAUAAGCUAGCGCUCUCUCGUAAGCUACUCUGAAAUUAAGCCAAACCCACGGUGAUUAUCGUCUAUAAAGUUGAAAAAGCGUAUUGGCCUUGGCUAGAGGUCACUUCGCUUAGAAGG